rnacentral:rRNA from 1 species
UCGGGAAUUUCGGGCAAUGGGCGAAAGCCUGACCCAGCAACGCCGCGUGAGGGAUGAAGUAUUUCGGUAUGUAAACCUCGAAAGAAUGGGAAGAAUAAAUGACGGUACCAUUUAUAAGCUCCGGCUAACUACGUGCCAGCAGCCGCGGUAAUACGUAGGGAGCAAGCGUUGUUCGGAUUUACUGGGCGUAAAGGGCGCGUAGGCGGCGCGGUAAGUCACUUGUGAAAUCUCUGAGCUUAACUCAGAACGGCCAAGUGAUACUGCUGUGCUAGAGUGCGGAAGAGGCAACCGGAAUUCUUGGUGUAGCGGUGAAAUGCGUAGAUAUCAAGAGGAACGCCUGAGGCGAAGGCGGGUUGCUGGGCCGACACUGACGCUGAUGCGCGAAAGCCAGGGGAGCAAACG